UAAUACGAGAGGCCCAAACGUUAUUCGGAUUUACUGGGCUUAAAGAGUUCGUAGGCGGUGCGGUAAGUGGGGUGUGAAAGCCCUCGGCUCAACCGAGGAAUUGCGCUCCAAACUACCACACUCGAGGGAGAUAGAGGUGAGCAGAACUGAUGGUGGAGCGGUGAAAUGCGUUGAUAUCAUCAGGAAUACCGGAGGCGAAGGCGGCUCACUGGGUCUCUUCUGACGCUGAGGAACGAAAGCUAGGGGAGCAAACGGGAUUAGAUACCCCGGUAGUCCUAGCCGUAAACGGUGAGCACUGGACCGGAGGGCUGCACAGCUUUUCGGUCGUAGCGAAAGUGUUAAGUGCUCCGCCUGGGGAGUAUGGUCGCAAGGCUG
rnacentral:rRNA from 1 species